rnacentral:rRNA from 1 species
CCUACGGGAGGCAGCAGUGAGGAAUAUUGGUCAAUGGGCGUAAGCCUGAACCAGCCAAGCCGCGUGAGGGAUGAAGGUUCUAUGGAUCGUAAACCUCUUUUAUAAGGGAAUAAAGUGUGGGACGUGUCCUGUUUUGUAUGUACCUUAUGAAUAAGGAUCGGCUAACUCCGUGCCAGCAGCCGCGGUAAUACGGAGGGUCCGAGCGUUAUCCGGAUUUAUUGGGUGUAAAGGGUGCGCAGGCGGCCUUUUAAGUCAGCGGGGAAAUUCUGUGGCUCAACCAUAGAACUGCAGUUGAAACUGGGAGGCUUGAGUAUGGUUGAGGCAGGUAGAAUGCGAGGUGUAGCGGUGAAAUGCGUAGAGAUGAGGAAGAACCCCGAUGGCGAAGGCAGCCCGCUGGAGCGGAACUGACGCUGAUGUGCGAAAGCGCGGGGAUCGAACAGGAUUAGAUACCCCAGUAGUC